ACUCUCUCAGCUCUGCUCAGUUGCGCCUGACUCCAGUGGUGCAGCUGUCGUUUUUGAGAGGGAAAGCAAAUGAGUUCAAAUUUGCACGGCAGGGAGUGCUGCUGCAGUGAUCUCUCUGUUCCUUAUCAAACUCGACAUGU
ensembl:snoRNA